rnacentral:rRNA from 1 species
CAGCCGCCGCGGUAAUACGUAGGUGGCAAGCGUUGUCCGGAAUUACUGGGCGUAAAGCGCACGUAGGCGGAUAUUUAAGUCAGGGGUGAAAUCCCAGAGCUCAACUCUGGAACUGCCUUUGAUACUGGGUAUCUUGAGUAUGGAAGAGGUGAGUGGAAUUCCGAGUGUAGAGGUGAAAUUCGUAGAUAUUCGGAGGGACACCAGUGGCGAAGGCGGCUCACUGGUCCAUUACUGACGCUGAGGUGCGAAAGCGUGGGGAGCAAACGGGAUUAGAGACCCCUGUAGUCCCUGUCUCUUAUAU